rnacentral:lncRNA from 1 species
AUGUUACAAAAUGUGUUAGCUUGUAAUGGUUAUGGUCCAAUUUGUGUAUAGCCAUGGAUGAUGGCUUAUAUUGAUCAUAUGAUUAUGAAUGUGCCUAUGUCUUUGAGAUGUGGUUUGUGAUUGUUUGUUGUGAUGCGUUAUGUUAUUAGUGAUGAAUGCUUGUUGCUAUUGUAUUGGUAUGUGCUAGUCAUAAUUGUGGAUGUUUUGGUUGCCUAAGUACGUUAUAUUUUAUGCCUUUGAAUUUAUAUAAGUGUAUGUGUGAAUAAGGGUGGCAAAUGGCUUGGUAAAUAGCCAUUAAUUUG